UACAGAGGGUGCAAGCGUUGUUCGGAAUUACUGGGCGUAAAGCGCGUGUAGGCGGCUUGGCAAGUCCUGUGUGAAAGUCCUGGGCUCAACCCAGGAAGUGCGCAGGAUACUGCCGAGCUGGAGUAGCGGAGAGGAUGGCGGAAUACCCGGUGUAGAGGUGAAAUGCGUAGAUAUCGGGAGGAACACCAGUGGCGAAGGCGACUUCCUGGCCUGUUCUUGACGCUGAGGCGCGAAAGCUAGGGGAGCAAACGGG
rnacentral:rRNA from 1 species